rnacentral:rRNA from 1 species
UGGGGAAUAUUGCACAAUGGGCGCAAGCCUGAUGCAGCGACGCCGCGUGAGGGAUGACGGCCUUCGGGUUGUAAACCUCUUUCAGCUCCGACGAAGCGCAAGUGACGGUAGGAGCAGAAGAAGCACCGGCCAACUACGUGCCAGCAGCCGCGGUAAUACGUAGGGUGCAAGCGUUGUCCGGAAUUACUGGGCGUAAAGAGCUCGUAGGCGGUUUGUCGCGUCGUCUGUGAAAUUCUGCAGCUUAACUGCAGGCGUGCAGGCGAUACGGGCAGACUUGAGUACUACAGGGGAGACUGGAAUUCCUGGUGUAGCGGUGAAAUGCGCAGAUAUCAGGAGGAACACCGGUGGCGAAGGCGGGUCUCUGGGUAGUAACUGACGCUGAGGAGCGAAAGCGGGGGUAGCGAACAGG